UGUCGAAACCUGCAAAGCAGAUAUGACCCCGUGAACAUGUUGUGAAAAUGAAGGGGUUGUGUCGGGCACUGCCAUGACGCUCUCCUAUGGGGGGCCGGUGCGGAAGGGAUCGGUGGGCUUGUUCCAUCCUCUUCUGUGUGCUGUCCUCCCAACAAACAAAACCCCGGCGCAAAAUGCGCCAAGGAACCGGAAAUGAAAAGUGAAGGGAACGGGUGCCUUAGCGUGCCGGGAACGGAAUUCGCAAGGGUGUUCAGUUCCUUAUUCGAAAACUAAACGACUCUCGGCAACGGAUAUCUUGGCUCUCGCAUCGAUGAAGAACGUAGCGAAAUGCGAUACUUGGUGUGAAUUGCAGAAUCCCGUGAACCAUCGAGUUUUUGAACGCAAGUUGCGCCCGAAGCCUUCGGGCCGAGGGCACGUCUGCCUGGGUGUCAUGUAUCGUUGCCCCAUCCAACUCCCUUCGUUGGAGAUCGGAAUGGGGGCGUAAAAUGGUCUCCCGUGCGCUCCCGCUCGCGGUUGGCCAAAAUUUGAGUCGUUGGUGACAGUGCCACGGCGAGCGGUGGUUGAUAAAACCUUCGGACAUUGCCGCGGCCAAGCCAACAAAAGACUCUGAGACCCUGCUCACUCCCAACAGCGACCCCAGGUCAGGCGGGAAUUACCCGCUGAGUUUAGCAUAUCAA
rnacentral:rRNA from 1 species